ensembl:miRNA nbr-mir-2187b nbr-mir-2187b
UUUAAUUAGUACAGCCUGUAUUAGUAAUGUCAUCUAUUCUUUACAGGCUAUGCUAAUCUAUGC